AAUCCAUAGGUUAAUGAGGCGAACCGGGGGAACUGAAACAUCUAAGUACCCCGAGGAAAAGAAAUCAACCGAGAUUCCCCCAGUAGCGGCGAGCGAACGGGGAGGAGCCCAGAGCCUGAAUCAGCAUGUGUGUUAGUGGAAGCGUCUGGAAAGGCGCGCGAUACAGGGUGACAGCCCCGUACACAAAAGCGCAUGUGCUGUGAGCUCGAUGAGUAGGGCGGGACACGUGGUAUCCUGUCUGAAUAUGGGGGGACCAUCCUCCAAGGCUAAAUACUCCUGACUGACCGAUAGUGAACCAGUACCGUGAGGGAAAGGCGAAAAGAACCCCGGCGAGGGGAGUGAAAAAGAACCUGAAACCGUGUACGUACAAGCAGUGGGAGCACCCUUCGGGGUGUGACUGCGUACCUUUUGUAUAAUGGGUCAGCGACUUAUAUUCUGUAGCAAGGUUAACCGUAUAGGGGAGCCGGAGGGAAACCGAGUCUUAAUUGGGCGUUAAGUUGCAGGGUAUAGACCCGAAACCCGGUGAUCUAGCCAUGGGCAGGUUGAAGGUUGGGUAACACUAACUGGAGGACCGAACCGACUAAUGUUGAAAAAUUAGCGGAUGACCUGUGGCUGGGGGUGAAAGGCCAAUCAAACCGGGAGAUAGCUGGUUCUCCCCGAAAGCUAUUUAGGUAGCGCCUCGUGAAUUCAUCUCCGGGGGUAGAGCACUGUUUCGGCUAGGGGGCCAUCCCGGCUUACCAACCCGAUGCAAACUGCGAAUACCGGAGAAUGUUAUCACGGGAGACACACGGCGGGUGCUAACGUCCGUCGUGAAGAGGGAAACAACCCAGACCGCCAGCUAAGGUCCCAAAGUCAUGGUUAAGUGGGAAACGAUGUGGGAAGGCCCAGACAGCCAGGAUGUUGGCUUAGAAGCAGCCAUCAUUUAAAGAAAGCGUAAUAGCUCACUGGUCGAGUCGGCCUGCGCGGAAGAUGUAACGGGGCUAAACCAUGCACCGAAGCUGCGGCAGCGAACGUAUCACCCAAGACAACUUUACGGAGUUGACGAUUGACGGAGCGAAGCGACGUCAAAGCGUUCAUUAAAGUCGAGUUGGCUUAGGGAUACGUUCGUUGGGUAGGGGAGCGUUCUGUAAGCCUGUGAAGGUGUGUCGUGAGGCAUGCUGGAGGUAUCAGAAGUGCGAAUGCUGACAUAAGUAACGAUAAAGCGGGUGAAAAGCCCGCUCGCCGGAAGACCAAGGGUUCCUGUCCAACGUUAAUCGGGGCAGGGUGAGUCGACCCCUAAGGCGAGGCCGAAAGGCGUAGUCGAUGGGAAACGGGUUAAUAUUCCCGUACUUGGUGUUACUGCGAAGGGGGGACGGAGAAGGCUAUGUUGGCCGGGCGACGGUUGUCCCGGUUUAAGCGUGUAGGUGUGUGUUCCAGGUAAAUCCGGUUCACUUUAACACUGAGGCGUGACGACGAGGCACUACGGUGCUGAAGCAACAAAU
rnacentral:rRNA from 1 species